CCCUUAGAUGUUCUGGGCCGCACGCGUGCUACACUGAGUGGAUCAGCGGGUCAGGUUGCGCGAAAGCGUUUCCUAAUCUUUAAAUCCGCUCGUGAUGGGGAUUGACGGUUGCAAUUUUCUGUCAUGAACGAGGAAUACCUUGUAAGCGCGGGUCAUCAUCCCGCGCUGAAUACGUCCCUGCCCUUUGUACACACCGCCCGUCGCUCCUACCGAUUGAGUGGUUCGGUGAGGCUUUGGGAUCUGAGCGGAAAGAGCGUUUCGCUGUUUCUGCUCGGAAAACUCAGUCGAACCUUAUCAUUUAGAGGAAGGAGAAGUCGUAACA
rnacentral:rRNA from 1 species